rnacentral:rRNA from 1 species
AGGACGAACGCUGGCGGCGUGCUUAACACAUGCAAGUCGAACGGAAAGGCUCCAGCUUGCUGGAGUACUCGAGUGGCGAACGGGUGAGUAACACGUGGGUAAUCUGCCCUGCACUCUGGGAUAAGCCUGGGAAACUGGGUCUAAUACUGGAUAUGACCUUUCUCCUUAUGGGGUUUGGUGGAAAGUUUUUCGGUGUAGGAUGAGCCCGCGGCCUAUCAGCUUGUUGGUGGGGUGAUGGCCUACCAAGGCGACGACAGGUAGCCGGCCUGAGAGGGUGAUCGGCCACAUUGGGACUGAGAUACGGCCCAGACUCCUACGGGAGGCAGCAGUGGGGAAUAUUGCACAAUGGGCGGAAGCCUGAUGCAGCGACGCCGCGUGAGGGAUGACGGCCUUCGGUUGUAAACCUCUUUCAGCAGGGACGAAGCGUAAGUGACGGUACCUGCAGAAGAAGCACCGGCUAACUACGUGCCAGCAGCCGCGGU